rnacentral:misc_RNA from 1 species
CGCACAUUGCACCUUUUGGUAUUCCGAAAGGUAUGCUUGUUCGAGCGUCGUUUAAACAAUAUAUUCAGCUUUAUUAAUUUAAAGACCGAAUGUGUAUUGAGGGAUUUGAGUGCCUGCGCCCAAACCCUCCAAAAGAAUUGAUUAGCGGAUCUUGACUGAUUUUGAAAAAUACUUGAACGCAUUAAAUUUAAUUUAUCCGGGCGAGUCAAAUCAGCAUUUCAAUGAGCCUGCCAAAUUGAAGAUACAAGAAAAAAAAAUUAAAAAAGAAAUAAUCAUUUUUUCUUAAUUUUUUUUCUACUAUUUUAAUUAUCGACCUCGAAUCAAGUAGGAUUACCCGCUGAACUUAA